rnacentral:rRNA from 1 species
GAUGAACGCUGGCGGCGUGCCUAACACAUGCAAGUCGAACGGAGUCCAGCCUUAGAGCCCUUCGGGUCAAAGAGGGGAAGACUGAGUGGCGGACGGGUGAGUAACACGUGGGCAACCUGGCUCAUAGAGGGGGAUAACAGAGAGAAAUUUCUGCUAAUACCGCAUAAGCACACACUGCCGCAUGGCAGAGUGUGAAAAGAGAAUCGCUAUGAGAUGGACCCGCGUCUGAUUAGCCAGUUGGCAGGGUAAGAGCCUACCAAAGCGACGAUCAGUAGCCGAUUUGAGAGGAUGAACGGCCACAUUGGGACUGAGACACGGCCCAAACUCCUACGGGAGGCAGCAGUGGGGGAUAUUGCACAAUGGGGGGAACCCUGAUGCAGCGACGCCGCGUGAGUGAAGAAGUAUUUCGGUAUGUAAAGCUCCAUCAGCAGGGAAGAUAAUGACAGUACCUGAAUAAGAAGCCCCGGCUAACUACGUG